rnacentral:rRNA from 1 species
GACGAACGCUGGCGGCGUGCUUAACACAUGCAAGUCAAGGGGGCCCAGCAAUGGGCAACCGGCGAACGGGUGCGUAACACGUGAGCAACCUACCGAACUGUGGGGGAUAGCCGGCCUAACGGCCGAGUAAUACCGCAUACGCUCUCAGUGAGGCAUUUCAUUGAGAGGAAACCUACGGGACAGAUCGAGGGGCUCGCGGCCUAUCAGCUAGUUGGCGGGGUAACGGCUCACCAAGGCAACGACGGGUAGCUGGUCUGAGAGGACGAUCAGCCACACUGGCACUGCGACACGGGCCAGACUCCUACGGGAGGCAGCAGUGAGGAAUAUUGCGCAAUGGGCGAAAGCCUGACGCAGCGACGCCGCGUGGGGA